AUUAAGUUGACGAGUCCUAAAUAGGACGAAAUGCACAUCUUGGAU
rnacentral:hammerhead_ribozyme from 1 species